UAAGUAAGGAAAGCAUUUGGAAGCCAACAUUCUUUGGGGGAAGAGUUCAGGCAGUGGUUAAGAGCACCGCGUCGGGAGUCACCUCUCCUAGUUUGACUCUGAACAAGCUACUCAACCUCCCUAAAACCAAAUUUCCUUGGGAAGAUGUGGCUAAGGAUGGCCAGCCUCAUGGGAGCUCUGUCAGCUAUUUCUACUUGAUAUCAUGUAAUGCAGGUAAAGAUCUUAAUGAUAGUAUAUUAAUAUUAAUGUAUUUUUAUCUUAAUGAAAUCAAUAAUUCCAUUCUCCAGAGAGCAACAGAUAAAGUCGAGCAGUCAGACUGGUAAAAGCAAUAUAUAUUUAUUUCUUAAGUGACUAAAAGUUUCUGAAAAUAUAGGCCUCCCUCAUCUUGUGAAUGUUGAUACUUACUGAACUCGGGUUUAUAUUUCACUUUUUUCAUCUAUUUCUCAUUUAUCUCUGUGUCUUCCUUUUAAUAGCUGAUUUCUCUUUCAUCACUUAUUUAACCUCUUUUUAAAAAUAUUGUAUUAGCACGUCCUCUAUGGUUUCUCAAACCCCUGCUAUAAGCAACAGAUAUUUUACUUUAGAAAUUAUAGAUACUCAAAGUGCAGUUUUAAAGUUUAGGUAGAUACAUGCCCAGAAAUGCAUGCACUUUUUAAAAUAAGCCAUUAUGAUGUAAUUACAACUUGAGUAAAUCAAUAAUUAAAUGAACAGAGUUGGACUUGACUUGAUCACAAUACGUGAUCUAUCUAGCCAAAGAGGCACCAGCACAUUCAGUGUUACUUGGAAGGACUUUGAAUGAUGCAUCAAUCAGAUAUACCCAAAUACACAUACACACACACACAUCUAAUGACAUUCACCAGUCUUUAGUUGUAUAACUAGCACCUCAUUUGUGAUAAUCAAAAAGCAAGUUAUUUCUGCAUAUUCACGGGUCCAGUCUAUAUCAAAAUCUUUUAACAAAUAAGGUUAGACAGUAAAUCUCUAAAAACUUAAAAUGCAGAGAAACAGGGAAUUCACUUUGCUUUGAUACUUGGCUAUCACUAAAAGUUAUCUAAAUACCAAUGAGAUGGAUGUUAUUGACUCCUCCCAGUUAAAAAGCAUUGCUGCUCCAUUUUAUCACUAAAACUAUUUGAUGCUUAGAAACAGCUCCAGUAUGACAGAAGAUCUGGACUCUGCAGCAGGUAGGAUUUGAAUUCAAGUCUUACGACAGUACAGCCCUUGUGUCUAAGCAUCAAUAGCAUAACCUGUAUUCUUGACUUGUACCAAGAGGUGAGACACUGGAAACAGUACCUUUAACUCUACAUUUAGAAGUGAGGUAUUUGGGGGUUGGUUUAAAUCUUACCUAACAACAACCUGGACUUUUUUAUUUUUUAUUUUUAUUUUUUUGCUAUUUCUUUGGGCCGCUUCUGCGGCAUAUGGAGGUUCCCAGGCUAGGGGUCGAAUCGGAGCUGUAGCCGCCGGCCUACGCCAGAGCCACAGCAACGCGGGAUCCAAGCCGCAUCUGCAACCUACACCACAGCUCACGGCAACGCCGGAUCGUCAACCCACUGAGCAAGGGCAGGGAUUGAACCCGCAACCUCAUGGUUCCCAGUCGGAUUCGUUAACCACUGCGCCACGAUGGGAACUCCCAACCUGGACUUUUUAAAUGGAUAAAACAGGAGCUGGGCAGAAGAGAUUGAUCUAUAAGCUUCUCUGCCCAGCUAGUGUAAGCCUGGGCUUUUGUGUGACCUUUUCUCAUGGUCAUUUCCUUAUCCCUCUGCCUACCUGUCAGUCGUUUUCAUGAUGAAGACAUGGGGUGAUGUUAUUUAAAACUGUGCCUGAUGUAAACCUAAGCCGCAUUGACUGAGGGGCUAUUUGAUGUCUUUGAGUAAGUCCAUAUAGGCUCACAUUGAAUCCCUGCUUUUUUUAAUUUUUAAUGAGCUCGUUUUAUAGUUCCUUUUCUGGAAUAAAGACAAAGCAACGAAAGGCAUUUAAUGAAGCAUACGAAUAAAACCAUGACCAUUUCAGGUUGAAUUUGUGGCAUCCUCUUUCUAAGGAGAGUCCCUUGGAAAUUUGUCUGACCAAAUAUUUGACUUUUCUCCCUCCAAAUGUGUGUGGUUUCAAUCGUGACGUUUUGGGAAAACAUUGUUUAUUUGCCAUUGUUAAAAAUAAACUAUAAAAUAUGUAUGCUUUUAUAUUAUAAAUGGUUACAUAAGUUAAAAACUUACAGAAAGAUAGAAAUAGUCAUAACUACCCAACACAAAGUACUUUUAAUAUUUUGUUGUGCCUUCUUGCAAUCCAUGGCACCUCCGUAACUGAAUUCUAUCCAGGUUGUAUUCACAAUAUGUAAAAUAUUUAUAUACUGCUAAAUGUUAUAGCAUAAAGAGGUUCUUAUUUUUAUAUAAUUUCUGUCAUAGUAAUACAUGUUUUUAUAAUAAUUGACUGAAUAGUUGAAGUUUUCUAACUUUUCAACAUUCAUGGAACCUUUAGGUUAAUGAUUUUUACUGCCGUCAUUGAUCCUGUGAAUAACACCUUUGUUCUCUGGCUUUAGACUGUUUCCUGAAUGAUGAAUUACUUGGGCAAAAAACUUGUACAUUUUUAGAGUUAAUAACACAUGUUGCCUCAAUGUUUUACCAAAGGCACUGUGUAGUUUAGAAUGCCAGCAGUGACAAUGCAUGCCAUUUUUAUACAUCCCCCUGCCAGUACUGUACAUAAGAUUUUUUGUCAAAGUACAAUUGUGAUUUUAAAAAGUUAAUAACGGUACCUCCUCAUAGUCCUUGGCUACUUUUCAUUUAAAUAUUAGAAUGAAGAAGGAGCCCCCCAGGAGGGAAUUCUGGAAGAUAUGCCUGUGGAUCCUGACAAUGAAGCUUAUGAAAUGCCUUCCGAGGAAGGGUAUCAGGACUAUGAACCGGAAGCCUAAGGGGUAUCUUUGCUCCCAGUUUCCUGAGAUCUGCUGACAGACGUGCCAUCCUGUCCAAGUGCCCCGUUCCCACCUGCCCAGUCGUGACCUUCUCUCAACGCUUUCACAGUGUCUUUUGAAGUCUUCCAUGAGCAGUGACUGGAGUAUCUGUACCCGCCCCACCUCGGUUCCGGUGCUUCCCUCUCACUGAAUAUAUGGUAGCAGGGUCUUGUGUGCUGUGGCUGUUGUGGCUUCGAACCUAAAAUGUUUAAUGAAAAACACCUAAGUGACUACCACUUAUUUCUAAAUCUAUUUUUUGUUGCUGUUGAGAAAUUGUGAGUGAUUUACUCUCCUAAGAUUUAAAAGUGUCUUUUCAGGAUUCCGUCGAAGAAUAAUGAUGUAUGGCGAAAUUUGUUAAUAUAUACAAUACUUAAACAUGUGAGCAUGGAACUAUGCACCUAUAAAUAUUAACUAUAGAACGUUACUGUUUUGUGAUGUGUUUUGUUAACUUGCGUUUGUAUAUAAAUGGUGGAAAUUAAAAUAAAACGUUAUCUC
rnacentral:lncRNA from 1 species